rnacentral:rRNA from 1 species
GACGUAGGGUCCAAGCGUUGUCCGGAUUUACUGGGCGUAAAGAGCGCGUAGGCGGCUCGUUAAGUGUAGAGUGAAAUCUCUGGGCUCACCCCAGAAACUGCUCUGCAUACUGGCGAGCUGGAGUGAUGAAGAGGUUUGUGGAAUUCCUGGUGUAACGGUGAAAUGUGUUGAUAUCAGGAGGAACACCCAUGGCGAAGGCAGCAAACUGGUCAUCAACUGACGCUGAGGCGCGAAAGUGUGGGUAGCAAACAGG